rnacentral:lncRNA from 1 species
GGCGCCUCCAUCUUCACAGCAUGAAGGAAGCCGAGGAGAUGCCAUGUGAGGGUGCAGCGAGGAGUUGGGCUGUCUAAAAGCAAAGAAAGAGAUUGCAUCAGACACCGCAUCUGCUGACACCUUGUUCUUGGACUUCCAGCUUCCAAAACCGCGAGAAAUAAAUGUCUGUGUCUAAACCCCAACCCUACCACCUCAACUGCCGUGUGUGGUGUUUUGUGAUGGCAGCCCCAGCUGACUGAGACACCUGGUUAGACCGGAAUAAGCAGUACCUGAGUCCCUUAAGAGUGGCCAAAGAAGAAAGAAUCCACUGAGUUGACAUUCCAGUUCAGCUGCAAUCGGUAGCAGUCACCAUUGAACAUCCUUGAAGCAAUUCUUCCAAAAUUACCUUGCAUCAAAGACUGCACAAGAACUGCUCUAAGCGGAAGGACUGAUGUCGGCAACCAGGGUUCCACCAGGGGCUGCAGACAGCCCUUGACCUUCAGGUGGGAAGGUGUCACUGAGUUCAGACCCUCUGGCAAUCCCUAGCUAUCAACAUUUUGAUAAGAAAAUAAGUGGAAAGGUAGAACUGGAAGAUUUUGCUGAAAGAUUGGACAUGGCAUUCAGAGAAACAGAGGUUUUAAUGACAAACUCCAAGUUUUUGGCUGGAGCAACUGGAAGAAUGAGGUUGCCAUGAACCGAAAAGAGAGAUUGCAGAAGUAACCAAAUUUACUCACGUAGGCCAGGAAUUUCUAUGACGUGUUCCAAAUUCAGCCUCUCACUGAACACUUCCAGAGCAAGGCAACAUAAACAUCUGCAAGAAGAACAUUGUGUGAGAAAUAUCAAGUGAGAGUGGAAGAGUCUGCGGAGGGCCUCCCUGGGGCUCACCUGUGCUUUUGCCUGAGCUUCACCGUGUCAAGGAUGCAGCACUUUUUCCCUCUGGAGGAAGCAGCUUUCACCUUGGAAGAAUCUUGACCUUGCCAUUCAAAGUCACCAGACAGGGAAUCUGCCAGUGCCUUGAUCUUAGACUUCCCAGCUUCUGUAACUGUGAGCAAUAAAUGUAUGCUGCUUAUAAACUA